rnacentral:rRNA from 1 species
AUUGAAUGCUGGCGGCAGGCCUAACACAUGCAAGUCGAGCGAGCGGCGGACGGGUGAGUAAUGCCUGGGAAUUGCCCAGUCGAGGGGGAUAACAGUUGGAAACGACUGCUAAUACCGCAUACCAUUUGAUUGCCCAGGUGGGAUUAGCUAGUUGGUGAGGGAAUGGCUAACCAGGGCCACGAUCCCCACCUGGUCUGAGAGGAUGAUCAGCGAAACGGGAACUGAGACACGGUCCAGAAGCCUACGGGAGGCAGGAGUGGGAAAUAUUGCACAAUGGGGGAAACCCUGAUGCAGCCAUGCCGCGUGGGUGAAGAAGGCCUUCGGGUUGUAAAGCACUUUAAGCGAGGAGGCGUUACUCGCAGAAGAGGCACCGGCUAACUCCGUGCCAGCAGCCGCGGUAAUUC